UCGCACUACUAGCUAACUUUAAUAAAUUCAAAACCAUUAUAACGAGGGGUGAAAGCCCCUAUUUGGCUUAAGCGAAUUUUUGCAAAUUUACAUGAGAACCAUUUAAAGUUUAAAAUAUGGAAAAAAUAUCAUAAUAAAAAAAAGUUUUAAGCUAUUUGAACGGUGUAAACAUAAUUGAUUAAAAACAUCGAAUUGCUGUUACCAAAGAAACAUGUCGCGUAUUAAGCGAAAUGUCGCUUAUACCAAAUAACCUUUCACCACUCGACAUAGACUUAAGAAACACAGCUGGCUGUCCUGUGCUCCAAAAUUGCUUUAAACAAAAAAUAUACUCGUAGAGAGAGUACCAAAUAAGUAUAUAUGAGGCCGUCAGUGCAUAAGUGGCCUAACCCACAAUUCAUAUUCGUGCUUAUGUAUUGCAAUUUAUUUGAAACAUAAUAAAUUUUGAUGUAAAAUCAUCGAUAGAUAAUAGAUGCCUUUGUAAACAUCAUUUUAGCGCGUAUUUUUUUGUCUACGAAGUAUUGUAAAGGUAAAUUCGAACCUCAUUAUCUCCAUACUAACUACGGUAAGCUUAGGCCACUUUUGCGCUGACUUUUGCGCUGCUUUGCGGGUGUGAUGGUAUGAGUGUGGUCACACAUUGCCGAAAACUCAAAAUAAUAUUUGAGAUUAUCAAAACAAACGUUUAUUUUCGCUGUAGCCUUCGAUCAAUAAUACUACUAGAUUCGCGAUUAGCGCUUCAAAAACGGCCCGAAAAAUAAGACCACAAAUAAAUUUGUGGUCUUAUUUCAAAUUAGUAUGGUCCAAUCAUAGCCAACACUAAGACGUCAAAACGCUGCAAUGCGUGUUCAAAAACUGAGUAAAAAACCACCGUAACACCAAGGUUUUGGAAGGAAUAUCUUUUUUUGAUUUCCUAGUAGCCCCUUGUCGCUGUGCACAAUGGAUAUAUAUUGUCGCGAAAGAAAGAGAAGAAAUAUAGAACCCUUAUAAAAAUUCUAGAAUUGUUCAAUGGUGGUGGCAAAUCAAUGCAAAAAAGUAUUAAAAAAACUUUAUAUGUAUGUGUAAAUAUUUUAAGCGUAUAUGCUGAAAAGGAUUUGUUUUCUGGGGGAAACGAACACAGCCAUAAAAUAAGCCUAAAUUAAACUGAUUAUAAAAAAAUUCAUUGAUAUAAGAUUACAUUAUAUUUGUAAAAAAGAAACCGCUCAUAUAAAAAUGACUUCUAAAAGACAGCUUUAUAACAAACUGAAUCUGUUUAAAGGUAAUUAAACCUACAUUAUUGUUUUAAUUACUUCUGUAUAAAGAAUACGUGGAAAACAUGUUUCGUGUUUCCUUUCAUAUUUUUUUUACUUUAUUCAAUUUUAUUUUUUAUCACCUAUUUGUUGUAAUAGCGGCAAUGUAAAAUAUUAUCUACUACUUUUUUCAAUCGGUCAAAAAUAGUAGCGACCAUACAAAACAAACCUAAAACAAAUAUGUAUAUUCUGCAACUCUAUGUCUUUCAAUACUUACUGUGUUCUGAGCAUUGAAAUGUAAUACCAAGAACUACAUCUAGUUCCACAAUACAAUAAGCACGAAAUUUUAAACAAAUAUUUUUAACCUUAUAAAUUAGGCUUUAAGUAUCAUUUUAGAAUAAAUAUUUUUGUACUGAUGACUUUUUAUGUUCAAGUGACAUUUUAAAUUUAUUCCAUAAUAUUCUUUUUCUGACGAAAGGACCUAAAUACAUAUAUUUUGCAAUGGUAAUUAAACUUUAUGUUUAAGCAUUAAGGUUUAUAAUAAACUGAAGUCGUUAACAUUAUUAAACUUUUUUCUAAGAAAUGAAGAUGUUUUCGUGUCUGCAAACGUGGCCACUGGAGCGUCUUAUUUUUGUUCCUGAUCCUUAAUCUAGUACUAUUAUUGAUCGAAGGCUGUAGCAAACAAAUUUAUAGAGUAUCACUAAUGAUCAAACGGAUAGAUUGAGAUUGGUCGAGAAACGCGGCAAGUUCGCUACAGCGACUCUCGUGACUUAACACGUAACGACCGUUCGGAUCGGCGCUCUCGUACAGAAUUAUCACGGUAUUUUCUUUACCGCAACACUACCGGUAAAAUGGGGCGAUUAGGGACAGAUUCCAACUUUAUGACCAAUUUUAAGGUAGUUGUUGAUGUAUAAUAUAAUGCUAUAUCAGGAUCAAAAUGAUUGAGUCUUGGGGGCAACUUUGUUGUCCAAUUUAAAACUAUGCAACUAGCAUUCCAGUUUGAGCAAAAAAAGCAAAAAUAGAUGUAAUCCCUAUUUACCCGGAAAUUGCGGUUAAUUGGGACGAAAUGAGAAAUUUGCUAGGAUUGGCACUACUUGGUUUUAAUUUAUUUAUUUAUUUAAUUGCACCAACAAAGUGAUCAAUAUCAACUUGAUUACAUUUAUUUACUUAUGAUUAAUUUAUAUUUACUUGGGAAAUGAUCCGCGACAGAUUUGUCCUGUAAGUUGUGAGACAAUAAAAAAAAACAUCUAUUUCAUCACUUAAAAUUAGUUCAGCGCAAUCGGACAACUCCGAAUGAACAUUGACGGAGACCACGCUACCGUGGACAUUAUUGUAGUCCCAAAGGAGAGCAAGCACCUAAAUUCGAACGAGUGGGCUUUCUUAUAAACGGUUUAUAUUUCUUCGUUCUUGGUAAGUACUUAAGGGCUGAUAUUUUUAUCCGGGUUAAGAGAUUAGGUGUGUCGGUUAUUCCAUGGAUUAAUCAGAUGAAUACCCCUACUCUGAACAAAUAUUAAAUAUUUUAUUAUGUAUUACUUAGACAUUUUUGUCCACAUUGAGAUUUCAUUGUUCUUGUUACAUGUCUGUGCAAAAUCGACUUACUUAUAUUAAAUUGCUUAGCUAUUUCAACUAAAGACUUAUUCCCAAUUUCAUAGGCUUCUAUUGCUGUUUUUAAUAUUAAGGGAUCAUAUCUCUUAUAAGGCUUUGCACUCUUUGAUUCGUACACGCGAAGCAUAUCUAAAAAUAGAAAACAAUACAUAACUGAUAAUAUAAAUAUUUACCAAACAAUAAAAUAACACAUUGAUAAUUUUGAAUAAAAGUUCUAGACAAAAACAUCAUGAAUAAACCAGAUUUUUACCAACAAAUUUAAAAAAUAUUGUUAUAACUACAUAGACAACCCUACAAACCUGUACCUAUUUAUACUUAGGUCGUUUCCAUUUCACGUAUUCUCAUCCCAAUUGACCCCUUUUUCGUUGUUAUCUGUACCUAAGACGUCCCCAAUAUCCCCAAAAACAACAGAUUUGUACAUGUAUUUUUAUUUUAUCAAAUACAUUAAAACCAAUAACAACUGAGACUUACCUUUAAUAUAUAUGAUGGUUCAAACACUAAAUAACGUUUAUAAAUCACAAUCGUCUUCUAUUAUUAUCAAAUAAAUAAAAGAGAGCAAAGUUUCUAGCACUAAAAUAAUUACCACCACAGGAAGUUAAUUUAAAACGCGAUUUUUUAUAAGUUAGCAGCUAUUAUCAUGCAUACUCAGAGUUGUUUUGUAAACUUUCAACAUUCUACUAUUAAACUACAAAAAAUGGAAGAUUUUGCAACGAAUAUAAAACUAAUAUUGAGCGUCGAAAGAUUUUCCCGGUUUUUUCCCAAUUCGCCUCUCAAUCCCUAAUCGCCCCAUUUUAUGGUACAUCUCCAACGUCAACUGUCAAACGGUACCAAACGUCAAACUGUCGGAAACUAGUGUUGCCAUCGCUGUAUCGGCCUUACUCAAGUGGACGACUUUACGUUUCCGACUAAACUUAAUUGAUAACAUUUACUUUUUUUUUCAACCCUAUUCUGAUAGCCUUGAGAGGUUAUAGCAGCGUUACCCUAGCGUGUAGGUGAGUUCUCGGGGCUCAAACCGAAGUGUUGCUAACACUGGUCCUAGUAAAAGCAGUGCUUCGCAGAAUCUACCACCGGAUCGGAAACGCGACCCACUGAGAAGAUCCGGCGAGUAACUCAGUGGGCUGUGUCUAUGGGUUAACUUACUUGUCGAGCCCUACGUCGCAAGCGACGGGUUCGGCGAGGACGGUGAUCGGUGCUUGAGGUACCUAAAAGCACCGUUAAUGGAUCGGGAGGAUUCGUAAUUACGUGUUUAGGGCGACGUCGACUGUUUACCAUUCGGUCCACAGGAUAAGCAGUCACUGAGACUGCGGCAUAUGUAUAUAUAUAACGU